UGCUCUCCUGUGUUCGAAAGUAAUAUCGUUACAGCGCACGGCACUUGUCCCAGGCAUGAUCACCACGAAAUCCAACAAAUUUGCUCAUUUAUAAUUAAUUACGUGCUAAUAUGUACUUAUAAUGAACUCAUUAAAUUCUGCAACUUUUUUAAAAUUUCUUGCCUACCGUAAUCAAUUUCUUCAAUUCCAUAGGUUCGUUUAGUAAUUAUGUCAAAUUUUAAUAUGUACAAAUUUUGACCAAAAGAGAACUAAUAAUACAUACCAAGGAAACAAUAAUGACAGAUAAGGCAAUGAUAGUCAACUAGUGACGAAAACUGAAAGAAAGAAAGAGAAAGUAAUACACGCGCCAAUCAUGAAUUCACCAACACAUCUGCGUCGACCGGAUUUAACCUCUGGCAGCUUCCUGUACCGGCUGUUAAAUAUCAUGCAGAUUGCCUUUUCCUCGUCAUUAAUGAACACUCCUUUUCGAUGUGCUAAUGUUUUUGCAUUUACAGGUGUAUAUGAAUACCUGAUAACUAAUGUUUUUUACUUUUAUAAAAAUAUUUUACUUUUUGUAUUUUUCAAAAUACAUGCAUGUAAACAUUGCGAAUUAAAGAUCUUAUUUCUUUCAA